rnacentral:lncRNA from 1 species
GGAGGACCAACUCCCUGUCAAUACCCGUGGUUUUGAAAUUAAAUGCUCGAAUAAGCUCAUAUGGGUGUGGUGUUUGGGAAUCCACAUACUUCUGACCAUAAAGAGUAUUUCCAAAUGAUAUUUACACCAGUCUAAUUAGGUUGACGGAUGCCUCUAAUCAGGCAGAUAUAUGCCAGUAGGAGACCUAGCUGGCUUUGUGAGUUCUUACGCAAAUGUUUCUAACUCUAGGAAGGAUUUGUGCAUGUGACUGACUGUAGGAACUUUGGGUGAGAGACAUUUUUUUAUUUUUUUAUUUUGUAUUUUAUUUUAUUUUUUAUUUAUGAGGCAAAGCUAAUUUGCUCUCAUAUUUGUCUUUGACUCUGUAAAGUUCUAUUAGUUACGCUUCUGAUUGGUUGCAGAACACGGUUCCUCCAGGAGAUGAAUCCUGUUUUGUGUUAGUAUCAAAGAGACUUAAUGGAUUCAAACUAUCCUUCUUUCUACACUUUUUUUUUUUUUUUUUAGUUACAGGAAUUUCAUUUCUAAAAGAAAAAAGUCAGGAUUGUGAAUGAGAGACCAUGAUAAAAGAAGCAAGCAUAUAGGAGCUGUGUGCGUUUAGGCCAGUCUACUCGUGGAUAUCGUGCAGGUCUUAUCAUGUUUCAGUUUGGUCUUGGUCACAUGAUCUCCACAGAUUUAGGGCUUUGGUUCUAGAUCUUAGACCAGUCUAGGACUAAGCAGAAUGCUUUGAUAUAACUUCUUGUUUAUAUCACACACGUUACUUAUUUUCUUUUCUUUUUUUUUUUUUUUUUUUGCAAACAAAGAUAUUUAUUUUAUUAGAAAACAUUCAAACCAGAUGAUCAAAAACCCAAAUUUUCUCUCUCACCAGAGCCAAAGUAAAUAGGGCUGUUAAAAGAUUCCCAGUGCAUUUCCCCUCAUAGCCAAAUGUCAAGAACAGAAAGAAAAAGAAUCAGUUAAAGGAGGAGAACGAGAGAAACGAAAAUGUGUAUUCAAUCAGUUUUCCUCUAAUU